GAUGAAGAACGUAGCGAAAUGCGAUAAGUAGUGUGAAUUGCAGAAUUCCGUGAAUCAUCGAAUCUUUGAACGCACAUUGCGCCUUCUGGUAUUCCGGAAGGCAUGCCUGUUCGAGAGUCAUUAACAACCGUUUCGAUCCCUUUCUUUCAGAAAUUACAAAGAGGAAAAGGGUUUGGUUAUGGUGGAGGAGGGAAAGGGAGCGUUUAGCCUGUAAAAAAAGAGGCUGUGUUCCGCCUCCCCCCCAAAAUUGUACAGGCGGUCGUGUGCGCCCACGCAUCGAGGUGUUGUAAAAGCUGCCACGGCACUUUUCACCUGUGCAGUGCGAGAUUGGCCAGCCGGUUUAAAAACCCCUCCAAACAAUCAAAGGUUGACUUCGGAUCAGGUAGGGAUACCCGCUGAACUUAAGCAUAUCAAUAAGCGGAGGA
rnacentral:misc_RNA from 1 species